rnacentral:rRNA from 1 species
UACGGAGGGAGCUAGCGUUGUUCGGAAUUACUGGGCGUAAAAGCGCACGUAGGCGGCGAUUCAAGUCAGAGGUGAAAAGCCCGGGGCUCAACCCCCGGAACUGCCUUUUGAAAACUAGAUUGCUAGAAUCCUGGAGAGGUUAGUGGAAUUCCGAGUGUAGAGGUGAAAUUCGUAGAUAUUCGGAAGAACACCAGUGGCGAAGGCGACUCAACUGGACCAGUAUGACGCUGAGGUGCGAAAGCGUGGGGAGCAAACAGGAUUAGA